GAUGUAGCUCAGCUGGCUAGAGCAGCUGAUUUGUAAUCAGCAGGUCGUGGGUUCGAGUCCCUCCAUC
rnacentral:tRNA from 1 species